rnacentral:rRNA from 1 species
UACGGAGGGAGCUAGCGUUGUUCGGAAUUACUGGGCGUAAAGCGCGCGUAGGCGGCUUUGUAAGUUAGAGGUGAAAGCCCGGGGCUCAACCCCGGAAUUGCCUUUAAGACUGCAUCGCUAGAAUCCAGGAGAGGUGAGUGGAAUUCCGAGUGUAGAGGUGAAAUGCGCAGAUAUCAGGAAGAACACCGAUGGCGAAGGCAGCUCUCUGGGACGGUACUGACGCUGAGACGCGAAAGCGUGGGGAGCGAACAGG